AGUGAACGCUGGCGGUAGGCCUAACACAUGCGAGUCGAACGGCAGCACAGUAAGUGCGUGCGGUUACGGGGGGGGAGUGGCGGGCGGGUGAGGAGUAUAUCGGAAUCUACUUUUUCGUGGGGGAUAACGUAGGGGAACUUACGCUAGUACCGCAUACGACGUACGGGGGAGAGCAGGGGAUCUUCGGACCUUGCGCGAUUGAAUGAGCGGAUGUCGAAUUAGCUAGUUGGGGGGGUAAAGACCCACCAAGGCGACGAUCCGUAGCUGGUCUGAGAGGAUGAUCAGCCACACUGGAACUGAGACACGGUCCAGACUCCUAAGGGAGGCAGCAGUGGGGAAUAUUGGACAAUGGGCGCAAGCCUGAUCCAGUCAUACCGCGUGUGUGAAGAAGGCCUUCCGGUUGUAAAGCCCUUUUGUUGGGAAAGAACAGCAGCCGGUUAAUACCCCGCUGUUCUGACGGUACCCAAAGAAUAAGCACCGGCUAACUUCGUG
rnacentral:rRNA from 1 species